GACGAACGCUGGCGGCGUGCUUAACACAUGCAAGUCGAACGGAAAGGCCCUGCUUUUGUGGGGUGCUCGAGUGGCGAACGGGUGAGUAACACGUGAGUAACCUGCCCUUGACUUUGGGAUAACUUCAGGAAACUGGGGCUAAUACCGGCUAGGAGCUCCUGCUGCAUGGUGGGGGUUGGAAAGUUUCGGCGGUUGGGGAUGGACUCGCGGCUUAUCAGCUUGUUGGUGGGGUAGUGGCUUACCAAGGCUUUGACGGGUAGCCGGCCUGGGAGGGUGACCGGCCACAUUGGGACUGAGAGACGGCCCAGACUCCUACGGGAGGCAGCAGUGGGGAAUAUUACACAAUGGGCGGAAGCGUGAUGCAGCAACGCCGCGUGCGGGAUGACGGCCUGCGGGUUGUAAACCGCUUUCGCCUGUGACGAAGCGUGAGUGACGGUAAUGGGUAAAGAAGCACCGGCUAACUACGUG
rnacentral:rRNA from 1 species